ensembl:lncRNA
ACAUUGUGUCUGAUAUGGAAGUGCAGAUGAACCAAAGGUGCGUUACUGAAUUCCUCCAUGAGGCAAAAAUGGCACCCACUGACCUUCAUCGAUGCUUGCUGAACAUUCAUGGAGACCAAAGACUGGAUGUGAACCCAGCAAAGAGGAAACAAAACACCUAUAUUUUUAAUGUAGUUACAAUUAAAAUGCACUGAAAAUUACAAGAAGCAAAAUGUCAUCUGCAGAAUAAGCGAGGUCUGAAGGAUUUUAAAACAUGCUACUUAAAUAUAUCAAGAAUAGUACCUGACAGCAAUUCUGGCAAUGACGUGGGCUUUUUUUUGACAUGAAGACACACAGAGACCCCCAGAACGUCUUGCAAACAGCAUGAAGGGCCCGAGAAGUGCCUGUAGGCAAAAAAGCUUUUUGGUCAAUAUUUGUUCCUAUCCUACUAAUUCCUAAGGUGCAUCACAGGAUUAGUAUUAGGCAUUCUAAUCCCAAAGUCUUCUUUCAAAAUCUUUCUUGCAGUGAUCAGAUGCUCUUUUACCAAGUAUCUCUAUCUCACAAUGUAGAAUCAUUUUUGUCAUUUAUACUCUACUUCUGUAAUAAAUCUAUGGCAUUUGAGUACUCAGUUUACUUUCUCUAAAUCACCUGGGUUUUUUUUUACAUCCUGAUCCAAAUUUCACUGAAGUCGAUGGUAAUAAUUCUGUCAGGCACUGGAGCAAUCCCCUUGAGCUGAGAUUACAUGCUUACUGAUACAUAGAAGCUACUAGAGACAUUCAGACUUAUAUCAAUAUGGAUUUGUAUGCCAAACGCUUUAUGACUGCAUUUAAAUUACUAAUACUUAGAUCAUAGAAAUACAGAAACAACAGAAGAAAUAAUUGCUUUUUUGAUAAGGCAUUCCCAACAGAAUCUAAGACAUUUUUGUCUAUGGUUAAGAACUUCCAACUGAAAGUGCCUCCUAACUUUUACUUAUCAAUUUCAAAUAGUUACUGAAGUUUUCAGUUAAAAUCUGUUCCACCCAUUAGUGUGACCACUGAAAUCUGUCGGAUUAGCCUGAUUAGCAAAUAGUUAUCCAUACAAAGACCCAAACAACUGAAAGCAGAGACUAGUUCCUAAAUAGUGGUAAUGGACACCAAAAUACAGAAAUAAUAUUUGGUUUAAAUAGUUUUAAUUAUUUUUGGAAUUAAUGGAAUAUUUGUAUGUAAGUAGUAAAGACUGAAACAAACAAUAAGGUGAUAAACAAAUCAGAAAAAACUCUGUUCUGUUCUUUUCUGUUCUUGAAGUGAAGGGUGUAUGUUUUUUCAACCAACUUGUUCUAAAACAUACGAGAAUUCUACAGUCAGCUUCAGACCAGUGUUAUGGCACUCUGCUAGGCAGUCGUUAUGAAUGUGCAUUAGCAAAUGAAAAAAAAUAUAUAAAUCAAUGUACUUCUGCGAAUUUUGAGAUCACUCAGGUGUCAUAAUUUGUGGCGAUAAAAGAUUGCCCUACUGCAAAUAGACAGUAUUUCAGGCCAGAAGUAAUGAAUUUCUGAACCUUGUCAUCAAAUGUGCAUGGUUACUAAUUUCACAGUUAUAAAUAUAGAGCAUCUUUCACGAUAUCGAAUUAUUAUAGAGUUUAUAGUGAAACAUAAUUUUUAUAAACUCCUAAACACUCUAAAUGCCACAUUUCCUACUCAGUCCUCAAAGGAAUGUGAUAUUCUAUUGUGAUAUCUUUCUAUCUGUGAUACUUUCCCCACAUAAAUUAUAAACUCUGUUUAAAAAUUCCUGGUAGCAGUUGAGGUGCUUGUAAAGCCAGCUAUCAGGUGAAGCUGGUGAGAACAGUGACUUAAAAGGGGACAAAAUCAGAGUCAUAUUAAUUUCUGUUUUCAUUUUACCAACAGAUAUUAUUUUAAGUUCUCUGGCUUACAAAUAAUGAAAUGAUACGUUUUCCAUUUUUCUGUAGCCAGAUGAUUAAAUUUAAAAGAGCAAAUUAUAUUUCUCGUAGAUCAUUUAUAAAUUAGAUCACAGAAUCCUGAAAAUGACUGAACAGUGGUAUGCAGGUGGUUGACCACUGAGAAGCUUACACAUUUUUUUGGUAGUAAGAGUGGCUUCUACAAUAAGGAUUACUAUUUUGAUUCUCCUGUUUGCUCGCGCAUUUUGUCUUGUGUUUGCUUUUUAAGAUAUCAGUGAGUAAGUGCAUACAUUAUUUUUCCUAAAGGAAAGGAACAGGGAGCAAGUAAAACAAUAUGGAUGCUUAAAGAGAUACUGGGUAAAUUUCAAGAAAGAAUAAAUCUUAAACCACUGCACAAGACAAUUCUCAUUUAUUCUGAUAGCUUUAGAAGCGUGAACAGGCACUAAGAGAUGCCUCUUUGGUCACUGCCUGUCAAUGACUGACCACAGACAUACGUUUCAUUUCUGGUGUGAAACAAAACAUGUUGAUUUAAAACACAUUUCAAACGUCUUAUAUAAAAAGCCAAGAAAGUACAGACUUUAAUAGUUAUUUUCUGUAACUACUGUAUAGAAGAUCUGUAAAUUGUUCUGGCAAGGGUUCCAUUAAAAAGUUAUUUAAAUC